AGGAGGGCAUUCGUUUUACUUUUCAUCUGAUGUUGAAUUGUGACAACUUUUGGAUUUGGGAUGUUCUUCAUACCAGAUACAUCAGCUGGUCCAGGAGCAGAUGCUGCGGGGUGUUGCACAGCUUGAGCUGCUUGAAGUUCGUCCAUUCUGAACUGCAGGGCUGAAUUAAUCAGAUGAACUAACCACACAGUGAUAACCACAUCAGGCAUAAAGGUACACACACCCACAAGGACGUUCCUACAAGCACUGAUUGUCUGCAUGUUUUCAUAUAGACAUGAAAUCAGUAUGUAAAAUACGGUUAUGAGAUCUGACAGACAUGGUCAAAUGGUAUUUAAUGCAAUGUGAGUAUGUCUGUGAAGCGUCAGUAAAAAUCAGAUGUCCUUCCCAAAUA